rnacentral:rRNA from 1 species
AACGAACGCUGGCGGCAUGCCUAACACAUGCAAGUCGAACGGACGGUAGCAAUACCGUUAGUGGCGGACGGGUGAGUAACGCGUGGGAACCUGCCUCGAAGUUCGGAAUAACCGCGGGAAACUGCGGCUAAUACCGGAUGUGGCCUGAGGGUCAAAGGCGCAAGUCGCUUCGAGAGGGGCCCGCGUCCGAUUAGCUAGUUGGUGGGGUAACGGCCUACCAAGGCGACGAUCGGUAGCUGGUCUGAGAGGAUGAUCAGCCACACUGGGACUGAGACACGGCCCAGACUCCUACGGGAGGCAGCAGUGGGGAAUAUUGGACAAUGGGGGAAACCCUGAUCCAGCAAUGCCGCGUGGGUGAUGAAGGCCUUC